GCCGCCGUAGAGCGGCCCAGUACUCCGAAGUGCUCCCAGUACUCCGGCUGGGGCCGUUCUAGCUGCUCGGCAGCUCCA
rnacentral:tRNA from 1 species